UCCCAAAAGAUGAUGAUUAAUAAGUCACCAGUCAGUACCGCAGAAACGUAAGUAUCACAAAAAUUAAAACGAUUAGGGCAAAAAUGCAACCUGUUGCUUGGCAGAAAUGACAUGGUGGUGAUGAUUGACGCCACUGACGUUAGAAAACGUCUUCUAAGCAACGCUACGUCUUCCGGGCAGUCUGGACACAAUCAGAAAGUGACGAGACGAUGCUAGCUGGUUAGCAUGCUAACUUCAGUAGAGGAAAAGAAGUGGCUGGACUACAAGCAAAACAAGCGUUAGCAUUGGCGUUGCUUUCUACUGCUGGAAACAGCUUUCGGCGAAUAAAAGAAUGAAGUUUGAAGCUGAACUCGGAACCUUUCUUCUAGACUGUGUACCCUGAAUGCAGCAUAAGGCCAAAGUUGCCCAGGUGCAGGCUAUUUCCUGAUGUCCUUACCUAUUCUGCCUGUUGGUUCUUCAGAAUCAGAAAGUCCAGCCAGCCACACAAGCAGCAAGCAGGCCCUCUCCUGAUGGACUGAUUUUGAUGGGGCACAAAAUCUCUCCAUGCUCCUUUCCAACAAAACCCUGAGUCUGGUUCCACUCAGCUCUAAAGUCUAAGAUCUCUCUCCAUGCUGGGGCCCCUCCUGGCCUGAGGCAGCAGAGGUAGGUCAGUCGGGCCCCUGGUUCCAUGCACCCUGGAUCCUGGAGAUUCUGGGUCAUGAAUGAUGAAAUGGAUGAAUGAGCCAAUUAAUCACAUAUCUCCAAUUUUCUAACCCAGAAGAACUUACAAGACACCAAAUAUUCUGAAUAACUCUCUUCUAUCACCCUUUCUCACGUCUGAAAGACGCCAUCCAGUGACUGGACUGGGCUCCCAUAUUUACAAUCCAGCUGUGGACAGUUCUGGGUAAAUCAGUCCAAUAUGAAAUAAAAUGCUGAAUAAGUUGAUUAGACAUGCAAGGUUUCAGUUAUGGAUUAUAGUAGUAGUAUAGUAUUUCAUCAUUUAAAUGUAUUUGAUUUAAGUAUACCUGACCUUUGUAUUAAACGUGAAACACGGAGGGUUACAUUGAAUCACUUUACUACUAAUUUGUCCAAGAUUUCUGCACAAAUGUUUUCGAUAAAGACAAAACAACAAAGGCAGAAGGUGACAAAAGAAUGGAAUAACAGAAAACAUACGAUCUAAAAACAACAUCAAAAGCUUUCAUGUGAGACUUAGAGGCACCAUUUAUGACCUGACUUGAUUAAAAUAGAGCUAGAAUGUGUUCAUUCUUGACAAGAAACAAAUCAGUUGAGACACACUCUGUCUCGUCUGUGCCAGAUCUUAUUCAGACACAAAUUGAACUCUGGCUAUGUUGAGAGUUACACAGUAUUCUGGAUGUGUUUACUAAGAUGGUGUGUUCUCAGUUUCAGCUGAUGUUAUCAUUAGUUGAAUUUAUUAAUUAAUCUGGUGUUUGGCAGCAUAACACGCUGAAAAUUUUUAAAUGUUUGGGGAGAGACACUUACUUAGAAAUUCCCAAAUGCAAUCCUACAUAGAGACUGUAAUCGCAUUUAAAUAUCAUCUCAAAAAACACAACAUUUCUUAACUAAUACUUUUCUUUUUUUUUAAAAUUCUGUGUUAUGUACAUGUGAUAACUGUGAAACACAUAAACACUUCAGGCUUUGAGUACCUUACACUGAAUAAAUAGUGAGCUAUCUAAUGCUGUUUUUACACUAUAUUAGCUUUUAUUGCUUAAAAUUGUAUGAAUCUGCUCAUACUGUACAAUAAAACUCUGUGAUUAUGAUACAGACCACCCAGUCAGACUACAUGCGGCAUGUGGACUAUGACAGUGAUGAUGAUGUUUAAAAGAAAGACUAAUUGUAUAGAGGGCAGCCCAAACUCUGCAGGAGAUUUUACAGUAUAAUGACAUCUUGUCAUGGUGGAGGAAUGCACUUGUGCCAUCAAAGGGAAAGUCCACCCUAAAAGUAAAUGCAGCCUCAUGUUGUUCCUCUGACUUUGGGGACAUUUUAAUCAGAGAGCAUGAUACAAACGUACCUGAGAGUAUGAGUCAAGACCAGCAAGACUUGAGACUCUGGUGAUGAUGAAACUCCAACAUUAGCUUCUUUUUCAUUCUAAAGAAAAAUAUCACAUGGGAAUUCUUGUUUAGGGUGGAAUUCUGCAGUAAUUCUGCGGCAACAAAAGUCAUCCAUUUUAGCAAAUUAAUGGAAGAAAUGGUUUGAGGGAGAUUUUGCUUUGUAUAGCUGGCAGUGAGACAUUCAUACAGCUCUGUGCUCUGAGAAAUGCUCCGGCUUUUAUCUUCCCUCUUUCAUUGUGACCAAUGCAAUACUGCAGUCUCAACAAAACUGCCUUUGUGGAAAAGUCCUGAUUUGGAUUAAAAUCAGGGAGUAAGUUGUUCUCCACUGUGCAGAAUCACUGUUAUGAUCAGAUGUGUGAUUAUGAUUGCUCUCGUUUCCUGGUGAUAAAGGUAAAUGUAAAAAGAUGUCUUUGCAGUAUAAAAAGAGACUGGAAAAGGACUGUUCUCUGUAUUCUAAAGGGAAUACAAUUUAACAUUUUGAGAAAUAUGCUUAUUUUCUCGCUCACUGAGAAUUAGAUGAGAAGAUUGAUAUUGCUCUCAUGUCCAUACACUACAUAUUAAGCUACCACCAGCAGUGAGUUAUUUUAGCUUAGCAUAAAGACUGUCCCAAAUCUACCUACUAGCACCUAGCUAGUGCUAUUAAGUUUAUUAACUAACAUUUUAUAUCUUGUUUGUUUAAUCCAUAGAAAAACCAUAGAGUACAAAUGACAUGUUAGUUGUUUGAGCUUAGUGUGUUGUCACCCUCAGAGCCAAGCUAGCCAUUUCCUGUUGUCUCCAGUUUUAGCACUAAGCUAAGCUAACCGCCUGCUAUUAAAAAUGACAAACAGUGGUUUUCUUGGGGUUCAUGUGCUGACAGAUUUUUUUCACCUUUGGACAAAGCCAGGCUCACUAUGAGUCUACUUCCAGUCUUUAUGCUCAGCUAAGCUAAUUGGCAAGAGGCUAGCUUCAUCGUUGCCACAGACAUUUGAAUAUGGUAUUUGGGACUUUCAACACUGUGUAGAUCCUAGACAUUUAUUUGGGUCUCAGUCUUAUUCUGAAAGCAGCUUGGUGUGUACAGUAAAACAGGUUGAUGUAUCUGAAGCUUGCAUUUCAUGCCCAUGUGAUUAAUGUAAUAGAUGGAACACUCCGUAUUUUUGAAAAUACAUGUUUGUUUUCUUGGCUACAUGAAAAGAUUGAUACCACCUCAUGUCUACUGUCUGCGGUUGGGUAGUUUAUCUGUGAAAAAACUAAUUCAAUUUGUUUUCUAAUUUUAUAAACUGCAUGCUUUAAAUAGUAGUCUGUUUUACUGUACAUUGCCACACUACUUUCCAACUGAAUCCGGAUGCAUUUAAAGGCAUCAUGAAGCUGAAAAAUCGCAGAUCUGUGGAUAGAGUUUGGUGUGAGCAGUAGCCUAUGUGGACGUUCUAAUUAAUAUUUCAUCUUUACCUGUGUGAGACAUAAAAUUGGAAACAUGACACAACAGCAGUGCUCCUCUCUCUCUCUUUUCUUUACCUCCUCCCAGCUUCCUCUUUCUGUCUUUCUCCUCUUCCUCUCCUCCCCCCUCUCUUCCUUUCAUCUCCUCGCCUCUUCCUCUGCUCCCGCCGUCCCUCUCUUUUCAUCUCCUCCUCUCUCCCCUCCCUCUCUUUUGAUAUCUCUUUUUUUAAGGUCUGUGUCUGUACUUGCAUGCAGCACACACUCAUACACACAAAUUCACUCAUAUUCACACACACGUAAACACAUGAAACAACAUUUCUCAUUAUCGGUCCCGUCCAGCAGGCAGCUUUGUAAUCACGUCUGUUUGUUUAUGUUUGUUAUGCUGCAAACACACACAUAUACCUAUCUCUUCUAGUUUUCCACACACAUCGUUCAUACACAAGCACACCGAGUCAUAUUUUUUUUCUCUCUCUCUCUCUCACACACACACACACAGAUGUCAAACACAGCACUGCAACAAAGCCACAGCCCCAGUGUUGAAUAGAGCCAGAAAUAGCAGUGGGUUUGACUUGGAAUCGGCUUAAGUCUUCAAAGAGAAAAUUUUUGAUGUAGCAAAGGGAGUGAGAGAGUGAGCGGGAGAUGGAGGGAGAGAGAGAGAGAGAGAGAGGGAAAGAGGGAGAGAGAGGGGUGAAAGAGGGAGAUAGGGGAGUAUACUCAGGGGGGAGAACAGAGCAGAUCUGGUUUGUUAUAUCCAGCUGUAAAAAAAGGGGGGGCAAAAAAACUUCAAAGAUCCACGUUGCCAUGGUAACUGUAUGGUGCCUGCUUUAUAGCCCCACCCCACCCCGCCUCCCCUCACCCUAGCCCAGACACACACAUACAUGUAGCAAAUGUAUUCAUAAAAAUUGAUGGCAGCACUAGUGUAGUGGGUGCACACUCACUCACUAAUACUUUUUUUCCUUCCAUCUCUAUCCCUUUUUUUUAAUGGAUACUGUUGCCGUCCAUAUCCAGCAGAGAUCAUAUUGAUGUGUGUAGCACUGCAGCUAAUUAAAACCCAAUAGGGUUAGCAGCCAUUGCUUUAGUUUUUUCUGUUUGAAAUUAUUGGGUUAGCCUUAUCUGGCAGCACUGGAGUUGCUUCUUCAUGUUUUUCUGUAUUGAUGUUUGGGGCUUGUUCCUUGUAAUUAUGACAUGCUAUCACUUCAUAGCCAUUGGAUCUAAAUUCCAUUUGUAAUCAGAUCCAUCUUACAAUCUGUCUUCUCCUUUUCAGUGAUGGUGCAGACCCAUGUGCUGCUGCUCUUUUAUUGACUUUUAAAUUGAUUUCUAAACACCAGAUAAUUUGUAACAGAUCAGUUCUUUUGUGUUUAUUUACUUGCUAAAGUACAGUAAUCUUUUUUUGGUGUAGAAGACAGUAGAGGACAAGAAUGAUGCAAGCGAACCUUAUACUGAACCUUAACCUUAACCCGUAUCAUAUGGUAAUUGUACAUUAUGUUAAGAAACGAGGGCUUUGAGUGAGCUGAGAUCCACACUAAAACACAUUCAGUAUCAUAGAUUUUAUUUUAUAUUGAUAUAAAUAGUUCAUUGUCUAUAAUACUAGCAGCCACUAGAGAUGCAAGUGUUAAGUUGUUGAUUCUGUAAUUUGGACAAAUGUGAAUAAAACUACUGAGAAAGUAAAGAAGCAAACUAGUGUGUUUAUGACCAAGCCCCAGGUUUUUAUGUUACACAACUGUUCAAAGGUUUGUCAUAACAAUUUUUAUUAUCAUUCUUUGACAGACUAUUGUUAAUAAUGUCGUAAAAGUUUCAAGGUCAUGCAGGUCAUUAAAUAUUAUGGCCAGCUGUGUCUCCAUGUUUGUCUGUGACCCCUAAACAAUGUGGGCCUCUCUGCCUUUUUGAUCCAUUUCUCAGCUCUUUUUUUUCCUGCCUGGCUCUGUCCUUCUUUCAUGGCCAUGUGAAGCACAGGGGUCUGUCAUGCAUUAAGAAGAACUGGGUCUAGCUAGUUUGUCCCCGGAGCGUUUCCUGCCUGCAGAUGGAUGGCUGCCCAGAGACUCUGAAGCUGAAGCUCUGAAGCUGCCAGUGAGUUCACGUCAGCUGGGAACUGGGAGGUUGUUUACGUCUAAAAUGAUUUCUGUUUUUACCACGGGGUGAUCAUGAAGGCGCCAUGGUCAUCAAGAGAGAAAAUCAGGUUAGUCAGUCAGGAUCACUCCUCUGUACUUGUAUGUUAUCAGAUAUAAUUGGUGUUUAGAGCACUUGAGAUGGCAAUUUUCUACAUAUCAUGUUGGAUGUUUUGUCAAUGGCUCUUUUGUACUAAUGUGUUUAUUAUGUUAGCAGCUAUCUACUGGAACCAUGUGUGAUUAUGGGUGGAUAAGAACAACAAACUGCAACUUUUUGCAUGAAAUUGAGCUGUUUUUCAUUCUACUUCCUUCAUCUCUCUGAUGGCCUCUCUGAUUAGACAUACAGAGAGAGUGAAUGAGGAUUUUCCUUGCCAUGAUGAUGUUGGUAAGAGGAGUAUUAGGAGCAGCUGUACCCAGAACAUUUCCUCUGAGUGGUUUGAGGCUGACCCAGGACCAGCUGGGGAAAAAAGAGAUGGCAAGAGCUGUGGUGAGAACACUCAUGCAAUGUAUCAUAACCAGUGUCAUGCAACCUCAUAAUUCCGGUUAGUCAAUGUACCCAUAAUCAAUGAAAGCAGGUUGAUUUCCAUGUUAAUGACUAUAUUUUAUUCAUUAUGUUAUUUUUACUUUUGGCACUUUUAGUGUGACCUGUGUUAUUGAUCUGUUUGAACAUAAAAAGUGACCAGAUUCUGCUCAUCAAAGGGAUAUUUGUGGAGCUGUAAUCAGCCGUUGCACGCAGUACAUGCAACAAGAAACAGAAUUACAUCUGCAAGAUCCACGGAGCAGUAAACAACAGUGAGUGCAGAGUAAAACUAAAAUGUCAUGCCAGCUGGGGUGGGCAGAAAAGUUAAUCCCUGGUUUACCACAACAAUAUUCUACUGUGUCUGUGAUGAUUUAAUUCUGUUUAGUUAGCUAAACUUUUCACUAGAGGACAUCCAGUUGUUUUGUUAGUUUCUUGAAAGGGACAAUGCUUUUCAUUUAAUUAACAGAAAAAAUAAAUUAAAUUAGAGUUAGUCUUAUUUUGAUGUUUCCAAAAGGAAGUCUAAAAAUCAGAUAGAUCUGCAGUCAUGCUAGCAGCUCUGUGGGGCGGUGCUUGGACGCAGGGGUGGUUUGAUCUAAAUGCUCGUGUCAGCAGUUUAGUUUCCUCACAGUGACAAUGCUACCAUGCAGAUGCUUGCCAGGUGUAGUGUCUACCAUUUUAACCAUCUUAGCUUAGUCUGUUAGCAUUUUCUUAUUGGGAAUAAACAUCAGCAACAAGUGCUGUGAGACUACGUGGUCAUAAACCAAAUAAUUUGAAGAUUAAAAUUUUGAGCUGGAUUAAAGGUUAAGGAAUCACCAAAGUUUUCUUAGGGGGACAUGACUGUGUGUGCCAAAUUUCCAAACUGUUGAGACUUUUCAGUCCAAAAAAAAGUCAGUCUCAGUGGUGCUAGAGGAAAAGUUGGGGCCAAAUUGCUGGUCUUGGCCGACCGAACAAACAACUGACAGCACAUCUAAGAGUUUAUUAAAGUGACAUCUCCAAUAGAUACUCUGUGUCUCCUUUCUUUCCUUGUUCAUUUUCAUACCUUCUAUGUUAAGUAAGGGCCUUGUUUACCAGGAUGAGCGUUGCUGUAAAAGUCUAACAAGCCUCCACGUGUCAGUAUGAGCCCCUAUGUUUACUGAUUAUUGCAGAGGGAAGUUGUCAUACUCAGUCAGUUGAAUUUGCCUUUGGCUUCAUUUACACAGCAGGAGAAAAUCCACUCGUAGCACUAUCUACUUUGUGUACACAAAGAUAUAUACCCCAGCACAACUGUUUUUUUAUAUUAAGAGGUGUGUAACCUCACAUAAUCUGUCUUCAAACCUAGUCUGGGCUCACCACUUCCACAGGUAACAACCAUUACUAGAUCCUGAGCCAAAUAAUUUGUGUUUACAUGUCAAAAGAAAUCUCACUCACAGUCUUUGAAGCCAGAUGUGAAAUGCCAGAGUCUUGCUGUCAUGCUUUGAAGAGGACCUUCCUGCAUCUCAGCCCAGAUCUCACUUAAUAUAUUCACAAAUCCUGAAUCCUAGACUAAUCAGCCUCACUUUCUCCUCUUCUCCACUUUAUCUUCUCAAACCAGGUGGCUCUGUGGGUCUGUGUUGUAAUUAAAAUAAUGCAAAUGGGGUAAUCCUGUAAAACAAAUCCUUCUGUUUCUGUUAAUGAAGACCCCCUAACCGCUUUCUUGUGUAAUGACAUAUUUGUCUCUGAAUAAACCAGCAAUGCUCUUUCCACAGAGAUAUGCCAGUCAGGAUUAGUUAUUUUACAGGCAGCCACAGCUCUUUGGCUGAGCCGCAGUCUGAAAAUGAUCUGAGAGAUAAAGUUAAAAAACAAGGAGAGCAGCUCAAACUUGUGGUUGCCAUUUAUAGCAUAAACUUACACUCUGACAUCUCAUGAAUAGUGUCAUGUUUUACUGCUUUAUGUUGGUGACACUGAUUUCAUCAUACCUGUUGUUUUUAGAAAUCAAGCAUGAGCUAUUUAGUGUUCUUGAUAAGAUAAAGACAUGAAAUUAACACCACAGUAAUUGUAGUCAAAUGAAACAUGACAUUUCCGUCGGUCCAAUA